rnacentral:tRNA from 1 species
UCUGGUAUGGUCUAGUGGCUAGGAUACCCGGCUCUCACCCGGGAGGCCCUGGUUCGAUUCCCGGUACCGCAA